rnacentral:rRNA from 1 species
UGCAAGUCGAACGAGAAGUACGUAGCAAUACGUAUUGUAAAGUGGCGCACGGGUGAGUAACACGUGGGUAAUCUGCCCUUGAGUUUGGGAUAACCCCGCGAAAGCGGGGCUAAUACCGAAUAAGACCACGGGGACCAAAGUCCCUGAGGUAAAAGGUGGCCUCUAUUUAUAAGCUACCACUUGAGGAUGAGCCCGCGGCCCAUUAGCUAGUUGGCAGGGUAACGGCCUACCAAGGCAAUGAUGGGUAGCUGGUCUGAGAGGACGAUCAGCCACACUGGAACUGAGACACGGUCCAGACUCCUACGGGAGGCAGCAGUGGGGAAUAUUGCGCAAUGGGCGAAAGCCUGACGCAGCAACGCCGCGUGGGGGAUGAAGGUUCUCGGAUUGUAAACCCCUUUCGAUCGGAACGAAUCCCCUCCUGGUAAAUAAUCAGGAGGAUCGACGGUACCGAGAGAAGAAGCCACGGCUAACUCUGUGCCAGCAGCCGCGGUAAGACAGAGGUGGCGAGCGUUGUUCGGAUUUAUUGGGCGUAAAGCGAACGCAGGUGGUUUGGUAAGUCAGGGGUGAAAGACCACAGCUUAACUGUGGCAUUGCCUUUGAUACUGCCUUUCUUGAGUAGAGUAGGGGGAAGCGGAAUUCCGAGUGUAGAGGUGAAAUUCGUAGAUAUUCG